GCAGAUGUAGCCUAGUGGUAAGACGCUGGAUUGGAAAUCCAGUGCGCGUAAGCGCCCGGGGGUUCGAAUCCCCUCAUCUGCG
rnacentral:tRNA from 1 species